rnacentral:rRNA from 1 species
UGAGGAAUAUUGGUCAAUGGGGGCAACCCUGAACCAGCCAAGUCGCGUGAAGGAUGAAGGUCUUAUGGAUUGUAAACUUCUUUUAUACAGGAAUAAAUUGGGGGACGUGUCCCCUUUUGCAUGUACUGUAUGAAUAAGGAUCGGCUAACUCCGUGCCAGCAGCCGCGGUAAUACGGAGGAUCCGAGCGUUAUCCGGAUUUAUUGGGUUUAAAGGAUGCGCAGGCGGGAUGUUAAGUCGGCGGUGAAAUUUUGCAGCUCAACUGUAAAAGUGCCUUCGAUACUGGCCUCCUUGAGUGUGGAUGAAGUAGGCGGAAUUUGUGGUGUAGCGGUGAAAUGCUUAGAUAUCACGAGGAACUCCGAUUGCUCAGGCAGCUUACUAAGCCACAACUGACGCUCAUGCACGAAGGCGUGGGGAUCAAACA